rnacentral:lncRNA from 1 species
GAUACUGAAAAUGUACAUUACUCUGGGAUAUAUUAUUUGGACUUAGCAUAAAUUUUGCACUGUCUGUUUGUCAUUCUUCCUCAUGCCUGCUGUCGGAAAUGCGUCAGGAGACAAAAGCAAGCUUAAUUGACAGCUCUGGGGAGGCUGAAGGAUCACAGAAAAUAAGGCUGGAGGAGUUGAGAGAUGCUAUAAGUCAUCCUUUCCAUCCCCAAUGUAGAUCAGCUAAAUCCUGGGCCAUUCCUCAUGGUUGCCUCAACGUUCCUGAAAACAAGGUGAUGACUGACCUUUACAUGAAACAAUGUGAAUAUGUGAAAGAUGGCACAAGAGCAGAGGAAAGAGAAGUGCUGAAGUGAAUUUUUCUUUGCAGUACAUGUAGAAAUUUUCCAUUCUCAGUCAGAACAAAGAUGAAACUUGCAAUCACAAAAAUCUGCUUUGAAUUUGUAAGUACUAUAUAACAUUAAAAAAAUUUAAUUCAGUGUGCUUUCAGUAACAUGCAAAUUUAUAUCUUAUUUUUCUUAUUUGUCUUCUAAUUCAGAAUGGGAAAUGGGGGAAAACAAACCAAAACAAAACACAAGACCAGAGGGACUUUGAAAUGAUUCUGAAGAUUUUCUUUGUGUUAUGUAUGUUACAGCAGCAUUGAGUUUCUGCCUUGAAAAACUGAUUUGAUAUUUUAGCUUGUUAUUCCAAGUGUCAGUACCAAUGAUAGGAAAGAAAAUAAACUGAUUUUCUUAAAAUGCA